UCCGGGGUGGCGCAAUCGGCAGCGCGGCGGACUGUUAAUCCGUAGGUUGUGGGUUCGAGUCCCACCCCCGGAGCCC
rnacentral:tRNA from 1 species